UUCUUAUCCAGAGAGGCGGAGGGACUGGCCCGAUGAUGCCCGGCAACCAAUCACCUGUGUAGCGAUAUACAGGGAGAUACUGGUGCUAAUUCCUGCAGAGUGUUGAACUCUGACAGAUAAGAA
rnacentral:ncRNA from 2 species